rnacentral:lncRNA from 1 species
CUUCUCAUAAGGGCACUGAUCCCAUUCAUGAAGGCUCCACCCUUAUGACCUAAUUACCUUCCAAAGACACCACCUCCAAUACCUGCACAUUGGGUUCACCAUUUCAUCACAUGAAUUUUGGAGAAUCAUAAACAUUCAGUCCAUUGCACUAACUAAAUGUUCCUUAUUUUUCUCAUUUUCUCUAGGCUGGUGAAGACUUGCUCACAGACCCCAUCAUUCCCCAGAAUAGGUUGCAAAGAUGGAAAUUCUUCUAAACUCUCUCUAGGAUUCCAUCCCUUCCUCUUGAAUUUUAUACUGCUAUCUCAGGCCCUAUCAGCUGGAAAGCUGUUAGUAAAGGAGGACUCAAAUUAACGUCCAACCACUGUCUCCAUUAUUCCCUGUAAUAUGUUCUUAUGUUUUAUCAGUCCCAAUUCUGA